rnacentral:misc_RNA from 1 species
GUGAAUCAUCGAAUCUUUGAACGCAAAUUGCACUCUCCUCGGAGAGUAUGCCUGUUUGAGGGCCAGCCUAUAAAAAUCGAUAUCGCUGUUGUUUCGCGGUGGCGUUUGUUGGACAUUGGGUCAUCUUAAAUCCUUUUAUUUUAAGCGACUUAAUCUUUUCUCUUGGUUCCAUGAACGUUUCUAAGACCUAUUUCUUUACACGUCUAAGGUAU